CAGAACCGGAACUCCUCACUGAGCUAAGUAGGGUGAUGAGUUUUAAGUGAGCUUUACGUGUUCUAACGCAUACCCAGAUGGUCUAACAGUUUGACUCUGGAGUCAGCGGUGAUAAUGACAGAUUCCAAGACUCUCCGUUCCCCGUGUUCUUGGAUUAUUCCCGUGGUGAUGUGAUCCUGCGCUCAGAAGUUUGGACAGUGGCCUCCUGUUUCCCCAGCUUUCUGACUGGCAGAUGUCUCUGGAUUGGCUAGAACACCUGCAGGUGUCUCCUAUGGCUGGCGGCUGGAAUCUGGCUUUCAUCGGUGCUAAAGACCCAACCUCAGGAAGCAAAAAGAAUCAGGUGUUGGAGCCUAGCAGUCCUGAACCCUAUUUUGUUCAGAUGGCGAGGAACAGGCAUUCCUGAGGACUGCAUCCGUGGCAGCUGAUGUGUCCAAUUUAGCCCCAGAAGGGAAAGGGUUCUCUUUCCUCUACAAUUUGGAGGUGCAGGGGUUUGGGAAAGAUGAGCUAACCCAUUUGCGUUUCACCAUCUGUAAAAUGAGAAUGAAAGUAUCCACCUUGGGCCAGUGAGAUGGCUCGGUGAGUGAAAGUCACUUGUCACUAAGCCUGAAGACCUGAGCUUCCAUCCGUAAGAACUGACUCACUGUAGGUCGUCCUCUCCCCUCCAGCCGUGCACCACGGUGCUCAUAUGCACCCAAGCACUCACAUCCCACACUAAAUAAGUAAACCAACAAACACAAUGGUGAAAGUAAUCUACCCCGGAGACCUCUUGGGCCUUUGCUGUUCUGGAAUCUCUGUUCGUUGAACAUCAGGUGGUUACACAGCUGGUUCUCCUUUUGUAAUAUUAAAGCACAACAUGAUUAAGCUGACCUUGUCACCUAAGGGUUCACCCAAGUGAAGUUCACCUCGUCAGAGUGCAAGGACAUUCUCAGGUGGAUAACACUCUCCAUGGCAGGGCUUCCAAGCAACAAAGAAGCCUUGUUGGGACCUGUGUGCCUGCCCUGCCUCUCUUGCCUGAGACGGUAGAUCUUAAGCUGCUAGGAGACAGUGAUCCUUGCCACUGCUCCAGCUCUGGGGCUCCCAGGGUAGCUUCUGAGCCCCACACAAAGCCAAGGCACCAUCCCUGGGAAGUUAGGAUGAAGAGCACCAUCCAAGUCCACCUUCCACCACGGAUAUCGGCUCACAGCAAAACGUCAGCCCAUGGAGCUGAGCCCUUCCUUACACGUGUGGGGUGCUGCACCUGCCCCCCACCCCAGGCCUCCCGCACAGUAUCCCAGCACCGGGGUGACCUCCGGCACCCUUGUUACCACCAGGUCCAACGCACUUGACCACCUGUCCAUCCAGAGCUGAGUAGCCGUCCCAGCCUCCCACACUGCUUAUGGUGGGUCCAGCAGGCUUUCCACACCCCACUCCUAGCUGACUGGACUGGACCAAGUUAAAUGCUCUUCCCUUCAUUAUCCAAAAGAGUUUUAUUCUGACUGAAGUGAACAAUGUGGAGGAGCACAACUGAGCCCUGGCGCAGGAUGAGAAGUUUCUUAUAUCUAAAGAGCUGCACUUCAAAGUGUCCAGUGGACAGGUUCCACUGUAAUUAGGGGGAGGAAUUCGCCAUGUAACUUAAUUAAUAUCAAACCUUUUUUUUUUCUCACUUAAAUACAAGACAGGAAGAUGGCUAAAGAAAGGGUGGGAAGAAGCUACGGACAGAAUCUGACUGGCUCAGUCAUGGGCAGAACAGCCACAAACUUGUUUUCUAGAUGAGUCCUUGGGUCAGAGAAGAACUUGAAUGCCACAGGGCGAUCAAAGAAAAGGACUUCUCCCAUUCCCGAUGCUCUGACCAUUGUGUAAAAUAAAGGGAAGACCUAAGAGAGUUACCUAGAUAUUUCAAAGGAGAAAUGCAAAAGUCGUAUUUUGUAAAAAAAAAAAAAAAAAAAAAAAAGUUUGCAGAAAGUG
ensembl:lncRNA